rnacentral:rRNA from 1 species
GAUGAACGCUGGCGGCGUGCCUAAUACAUGCCAGUCGAGCGAACAGACGAGGAGCUUGCUCCUCUGACGUUAGCGGCGGACGGGUGAGUAAUACGUGGAUAACCUACCUAUAAGACUGGGAUAACUUCGGGAAACCGGAGCUAAUACCGGAUAAUAUAUUGAACCGCAUGGUUCAAUAGUGAAAGACGGUUUUGCUGUCACUUAUAGAUGGAUCCGCGCCGCAUUAGCUAGUUGGUAAGGUAACGGCUUACCAAGGCAACGAUGCGUAGCCGACCUGAGAGGGUGAUCGGCCACACUGGAACUGAGACACGGUCCAGACUCCUACGGGAGGCAGCAGUAGGGAAUCUUACGCAAUGGGCGAAAGCCUGACGGAGCAACGCCGCGUGAGUGAUGAAGGUCUUCGGAUCGUAAAACUCUGUUAUUAGGGAAGAACAAAUGUGUAAGUAACUAUGCACGUCUUGACGGUACCUAAUCAGAAAGCCACGGCUAACUACGUG